rnacentral:rRNA from 1 species
AUUGAACGCUGGCGGCAGGCCUAACACAUGCAAGUCGAGCGGCAGAAGGGAGAUUGCUCCUGCAUACAGCGGCGGACGGGUGAGUAAUGCCUAAGUAUCUGCCUGUUAACGGUUUCGAACGGGCGAAAACAGGGGCUCAUACCCCAUACCUGCAGACGGCCUAAGGGGGAGAGCAUCGGACCUCCCGACCUUGCAUGAGUCUAUGUCGGAUUAGCUAGUUGGGUGGGUAAAGGCCUACCAAGGCGACGAUCCGUAACUGGUCUGAGAGGAUGAUCAGUCACACUGGAACUGAGACACGGUCCAGACUCCUACGGGAGGCAGCAGUGGGGAAUAUUGGACAAUGGGCGAAAGCCUGAUCCAGCCAUGCCGCGUGUGUGAAGAAGGUCUUCGGAUUGUAAAGCACUUUUGGUUGGGAAGAAAAGCAGUAAGUUAAUACCUUGCUGUUUUGACGUUACCCACAGAAUAAGCACCGGCUAACUUCGUG